rnacentral:misc_RNA from 1 species
UUUCCGUAGGUGAACCUGCGGAUGGAUCAUUCAUAAUAAAGUGUUUUAUGGCACUUUUUAAAAAUCCAUAUCCACCUUGUGUGCAAUGUUAGAUCUCGUCAAUCUUGGCGAGAUUUUUAUACAUCAACUCAUUUUUUAACUAAUUUGUCUGAAAAAUAUUAUGAAUACUUAAUUCAAAAUACAACUUUCAACAACGGAUCUCUUGGCUCUC